CCGCCCGGCGCGGGAGAGAGUGCGGCACGUCCAGCAAAGACAUGCCGCGCCGCCGAAGGCGCAACCGGCCCCCGGAAACGCUCAGGCACCAGGGACCGCGCCGGGAUA
rnacentral:ncRNA from 2 species